UACGAAGGGGGCUAGCGUUGUUCGGAUUUACUGGGCGUAAAGCGCACGUAGGCGGAUCUUUAAGUCAGAGGUGAAAUCCCAAGGCUCAACCUUGGAACUGCCUUUGAUACUGGGGAUCUUGAGUCCGGGAGAGGUGAGUGGAACUGCGAGUGUAGAGGUGAAAUUCGUAGAUAUUCGCAAGAACACCAAUGGCGAAGGCAGUGUCCUGGGAAGUACCUGACGCUCAGGUGCGAAAGCUAGGGGAGCGAACAGG
rnacentral:rRNA from 1 species